UAAGGAAUAUUGGUCAAUGGACGCAAGUCUGAACCAGCCAUGCCGCGUGAAGGAUGAAGGUCCUCUGGAUUGUAAACUUCUUUUAUCUGGGACGAAAACGGGAUUUUUAUCUCAAUUGACGGUACCAGAGGAAUAAGCACCGGCUAACUCCGUGCCAGCAGCCGCGGUAAUACGGAGGGUGCGAGCGUUAUCCGGAUUUACUGGGUUUAAAGGGUGCGUAGGUGGGCUUAUAAGUCAGUGGUGAAAUCUCCGAGCUUAACUUGGAAACUGCCGUUGAUACUAUAGGUCUUGAAUUAUCUGGAGGUAAGCGGAAUAUGUCAUGUAGCGGUGAAAUGCUUAGAUAUGACAUAGAACACCAAUUGCGAAGGCAGCUUACUACAUAUAAAUCGACGCUGAGGCACGAAAGCGUGGGGAUCAAACA
rnacentral:rRNA from 1 species